GGGGUUGUGGCUCAGUGGUAGAGCGUUUGCCUAGUAUGUGAGAGGCCCUGGGUUCCAUUCCCAGUACCGCCA